rnacentral:rRNA from 1 species
CUCUGCCUACGGGGGGCAGCAGUGAGGAAUAUUGGUCAAUGGGCGCAGGCCUGAACCAGCCAAGUAGCGUGAAGGAUGACUGCCCUAUGGGUUGUAAACUUCUUUUAUAUGGGAAUAAAAUGUUCCACGUGUGGGAUUUUGUAUGUACCAUAUGAAUAAGGAUCGGCUAACUCCGUGCCAGCAGCCGCGGUAAUACGGAGGAUCCGAGCGUUAUCCGGAUUUAUUGGGUUUAAAGGGAGCGUAGGUGGAUUGUUAAGUCAGUUGUGAAAGUUUGCGGCUCAACCGUAAAAUUGCAGUUGAAACUG